AAUACGUUCCCGGGCCUUGUACACACCGCCCGUCACACCAUGGGAGUUGGCCACGCCCGAAGCCGUUACCCUAACCUUUCGAGGAGGGGGGCGUCGAAGGUGGGGCUGAUGACUGGGGUGAAGUCGUAACAAGGUAGCCGUACCGGAAGGUGUGGCUGGAUCACCUCCUUUUAGGGAGACCUAUCUACCUAACGUCAGUAUAUUGUUUUGCUGAGUUAGCGUAGGUCAUCUUUAGGUCGUUAGGGACUUAUUUAGGUGGGCUUUCAAUAUUGUCGAGUUUUUAUGGGCUAUUAGCUCAGGUGGUUAGAGCGCACCCCUGAUAAGGGUGAGGUCCCUGGUUCGAGUCCAGGAUGGCCCACUGAGUGGGGGUAUAGCUCAGCUGGUAGAGCGCCUGCUUUGCAAGCAGGAUGUCAGCGGUUCGAGUCCGCUUACCUCCACCAUUUAAGGACAUGUUUUAUUUUAAGGACAUGUUUAGGGAUUUAGAUAACAGCACCGUACUCACUGUUUAGUGAAGUAAGCUGCUGGGCUCUAAGUCUAGCGAGAGACCCUUGACAACUGCAUAGAGAAAAUUGAGUCAAAAGGUAGUUAAAGACAAAACUAUUCGCAAAGGAUAGAGAGAAGGUCAAGCACAAGUCAUUCG
rnacentral:misc_RNA from 1 species